rnacentral:ncRNA from 1 species
AGGGAACCGGGGGUCCAGCAGCGCGGCGUCCAGUCACGGUCGCCAUCCGACGCGCUGUGCCAAUGGCGAGACCGACCCCUCCGU